rnacentral:rRNA from 1 species
AUUGAACGCUGGCGGUAUGCUUAACACAUGCAAGUCGAACGGUAACAGGCCUUCGGGCGCUGACGAGUGGCGGACGGGUGAGUAACGCGUAGGAAUCUGCCUUAUAGUGGGGGACAACGUGGGGAAACCCACGCUAAUACCGCAUACGCCCUACGGGGAAAGGAGGGAUCUUCGGACCUUUCGCCAUGAGAUGAGCCUGCGUUAGAUUAGCUAGUUGGUAGGGUAAAGGCCUACCAAGGCGACGAUCUAUAGCUGGUCUGAGAGGAUGAUCAGCCACACUGGGACUGAGACACGGCCCAGACUCCUACGGGAGGCAGCAGUGGGGAAUCUUAGACAAUGGGGGAAACCCGUGAUCUAGCCAUGCCGCGUGAUCGAUGAAGGCCUUAGGUUGUAAGAUCUUUCAGGUGGGAAGAUAAUGACUGUACCACCAGAAGAAGCCCCGGCUAACUCCGUGCCAGCAGCCGCGGU